CGCUGGCGGCGUGCCUAACACAUGCAAGUCGAGCGAGGUGAUUUCCUUCGGGAAUGAACCUAGCGGCGGACGGGUGAGUAACACGUGGGCAACCUGCCUUAUAGAGGGGAAUAGCCUCCCGAAAGGGAGAUUAAUACCGCAUAAUAUUGAAGUUUCGCAUGAAGCUUCAAUCAAAGGAGCAAUCCGCUAUAAGAUGGGCCCGCGGCGCAUUAGCUAGUUGGUGAGGUAACGGCGUCACCAAGGCGACGAUGCGUAGCCGACCUGAGAGGGUGAUCGGCCACAUUGGGACUGAGACACGGCCCAGA
rnacentral:rRNA from 1 species